rnacentral:rRNA from 1 species
AAUGGACGAAAGUCUGACGCAGCAACGCCGCGUGGAUGAUGAAGCAUUUCGGUGUGUAAAAUCCUGUCGGUGGGGAAGAAACGUAUGGUGAGUAACUGCUCCAUACUUGACGGUACCCACAGAGGAAGUCCCGGCUAACUCCGUGCCAGCAGCCGCGGUAAUACGGGGGGGACGAGCGUUGUUCGGAUUUACUGGGCGUAAAGGGCGCGUAGGCGGGUCUUCAAGUCGGAUGUGAAAACUAUCAGCUUAACUGGUAGCCUGCAUUUGAUACUGUUGAUCUUGAGUACGGGAGAGGAGAGUGGAAUUCCAGGUGUAGCGGUGAAAUGCGUAGAUAUCUGGAAGAACACCAGUAGCGAAGGCGGCUCUCUGGACCGAUACUGACGCUCAAGCGCGAAGGCUUGGGGAGCAAA